CAGGUAUUAUAGACAGGGCGGAUGUGCUGGGUAGGCAGGUAGUGUAGAUAGGGUGGACCUGCUGGGCAAGCAGGUUGUUUUGACAGGGUGGAUCUGCUUGUAAGGCAGGUAGUGUAGAUAGCGUGGAUCUGCUGGCCAGGCAGGUAGUUUCUGCUGGACAGGCAGGUAGCGUAGAUAGGGUGGACAUGCUGGCCAGGCAGCUAGUGUACACAGGGUGGAUCUGCUGGCCAAGCAGGUAGUGUAGACAGGGUGGAUCUGCUGGGCAGGCAGGUAGUGUAGACGAUAGGGUGCACCUGCUGGAUAGGGAGGUAGUGUAUACAGGGUGGACCUGCUGGGCAAGCAGGUAGUGUAGACAGGGUGGAUGUGCUGGCAAGGCAGAUAGUGUCGAUAGCGUGGAUCUACUGGCCCGGUACGUAGUGUAGACAGGGUCGAUCUGCUGGACAGGCAGGUAGUAUGGACAGGGUGGAUCUGCUGGACAGGCAGGUAGUAUGGACAGGGUGGAUCUGCUGGACAGGCAGGUAGUGGAGAUAGCAUGGAACUACUGGCCAGUCAGGUAGUG
rnacentral:lncRNA from 1 species